GGAUUUUACCCAUGCCCUUUUCAGUGAUGUCCUUUGGAUUACAUUCUAAACUAGUUUGUUUGAAUGUCAUUUCAGAACAACUCAUUACUUUCUGGCCAAAGAGUGAUUUGUAGUAAAGAAAGACCGUAUGGAUCAGAGAAAAGAGAUCUUAACAUCCUCUUCCUAAUGCAAAGAUUAGGCCCUCCUAGGGUUGAAUCCUAAGGAAUUUAGUCAAAAGAUGGCAUGCAACGGGUAGUUGAUUUGGAGUUCACGAAUCCUCUUGGAAAAAUAGAAUCAAGGAUUAGAAUCCUUAGCACUGCAUAUAUAAAAGCCCUUAGAUGGGGGUGCCACAUUUGAAGAUGGCAAUUUGUCAACUGGGGACAAUCUUCUAAUGCUAUGAACCUGAAUGAAGAUGACAUCAGUAUCCUUGGAAUUGGGUCUAUAACAUGCCCUUGGAAUUGCGAAAUUGUGUACAUUUUAAGAUGCACGCCUGGUUUGUUGGGGAAUAUUGUCUUCCAUCCUUAGUAACCCCAUGAUUACAUCAAGCGGCCAAGAUAAAACAACCAAGGAGAUUGACAAUAUAUAGAUGAUUUGGGCAACACUUGGUCGUCUGUGGUGGCAUCAAGAGGCACCCUACCUCUCCAUCAUACUAUUCCACUCGUGUCCAUUCUCAGAAGAAUUCAAAAAACCAAGCGAUUCUUAAUCCACUUAUACAUACAUACAUCUUAAGCGCGAGAAAAAUAUUCGUCAUUACAGGACUACUGUAUAAUCUAUCAAAUGGAAGACCUAUGUCCAAGAAUGCUUACUUCACAGGCACAAAGCCGACAAUGUGCUCAACCAAAUAUAAAUUUGCUUGUGCCCGGUGAUCCACCUGUCAUAAGAAACAUGUACAAUGCUACUGCUCCAUUGCUUCAACCUAAAUACUCACUUAGAUAUCAACAGUCCCACCUGGACAACUGUGAUCACUAUAUCAUGCAUUAAAUUCUUAUUUUGGAGCAUGCAAAUGUUUCUUGUUGAAUGGGCUCAUUUGGAGUCUUUUCAGAUCAUAAAGGAGAACAUUAUGUUGAAGGUUGGAUGCUGUGUAUUGCUUAGCAGAAGUUGAAUUGCAUAUUGUGGUUGGUCAAGGACUGCUGAUGUAGAAGGAUCCAGGAUAGGAAAGUGUGUUCCAGUCUCUGGAUCACUUUGCUGCUGGACUGCAAAAGGCUUUAGAAUUAAAGUUCACCUGAAAAUGUGUUCCUGUCUCUGGAUUUGCUCGUACCAAUCUUCUUAUGAUUUCAUGUUGCUGCUGGAGAUCGGAAAGUAGAAGCACACAUCAUCUCCCAAGGUGCAAUAAGAGCAAAAGAAGAUUACCCUGCUUGUCUAAAGAGGAAAGGAAUUGCUGCCUGGUUGCGCCUCCAGCGGCACAUCAAGUGACGUUGGACAUCAAGAUAUAUACCUGAGAAUUUCUACGAAACUGGAAGAAGAGAGAAGAAAAAAAAAA